AGUGAACGCUGGCGGUAGGCCUAACACAUGCGAGUCGAACGGCAGCACAGUAAGAGCUUGCUCUUACGGGUGGCGAGUGGCGGACGGGUGAGGAAUACAUCGGAAUCUACUUUUUCGUGGGGGAUAACGUAGGGAAACUUACGCUAAUACCGCAUACGACCUACGGGUGAAAGCAGGGGAUCUUCGGACCUUGCGCGAUUGAAUGAGCCGAUGUCGGAUCAGCUAGUUGGCGGGGUAAAGGCCCACCAAGGCGACGAUCCGUAGCUGGUCUGAGAGGAUGAUCAGCCACACUGGAACUGAGACACGGUCCAGACUCCUACGGGAGGCAGCAGUGGGGAAUAUUGGACAAUGGGCGCAAGCCUGAUCCAGCCAUACCGCGUGGGUGAAGAAGGCCUUCGGGUUGUAAAGCCCUUUUGCUGGGAAAGAAAAGCAGCAGGUUAAUACCCCGCUGUUCUGACGGUACCCAAAGAAUAAGCACCGGCUAACUUCGUG
rnacentral:rRNA from 1 species